rnacentral:lncRNA from 1 species
AGUGCUGGCUGGGCUGAGGCCUCAGGCUGGUGUCUGUACGUGUCUUUCCUUCUGAUAACUGGCUGGAACUCUUCCUGGGGACCCCCUCACUCCUGCACUGCUUACUCUUCCCAAAUUGGUUCCUCUGCUUCAGUAGACCUGCAGAUACUCUCAGAAGUAAGGAGGGUGGUGGUUGAUUGACAGCUCUGAGAAGAUGAUUGACAACUCCACAGGAGCCUCUCUCGGCAGCAGCCAGGAUUAGAAGGUUUUUUGAGUGCCACCAGCAAGACAGUCUCCUUACUCAUUGACUAACUCUUAGAAUUUGAAGAUUAAAGGCCUACAUCCCAGGAACUCUCUCUGACAUGGGAACUGCAGGGGUCAGGUCCCCUGUCCACACCCCACAACAGAGUCUACAAUGACAGAUUUCCAUUUUCUCAAACUUUUUUUUUAAUGGCAUGUGACCCAAUCUGGGCCCAGGAGACAUGAGGGGAAUAUUGAUGACAUCUAUCCUAAACGUUUCCUGCCCAAUUUGUCAUUUUCUUUUAUUUUGCUGUGUUUGUAAAAUGUGAUGCCUGGAGGUCUGGAAGCCAUUUUGUAGCCACGAGGGGAAAAGUUUCUGGAGUAAACUAACGUGUUGAGCCUCAUAUAAAACCAAGAUGGAAGGACUCUGGUUUCUUGGAGACUGGUGAGCUGCUAGGCCAGGCCUGAAAUGGCUGACUAUGGGCUUUAUGGUAUGUGAGACAAAUUUACAUCCUUUCUACUAGCUGUUGAUGACUUGGUAUCAAGGCGAAGAAAAGUUAGUGUUAGGUGAGCCACACAGAAAAGGGAUUUCUGAUUGUUAAUAAGAACCAGCAUGUGGAAGCGAAAUAUAGGGUGGAGGCAUCCUUCCCCAUGUUUCUCCUCUGAAAGCGAGACACUGUCUAUCUCACUGAAGCCCAGCAAGGCCAGGCCUGACCACUCUGCCCUUCCCAAACAGUUUGCACACCCAUUUCCCUGACUAUGUGAGUCCUUGUGGGAGUCACCACACCAGCCCAGAAAAGGGGCCCAUGU